GAGGGUGUACUAGCAGCAGUACGAGGAGGAGUAGCAAGAGGAGAAGGAGUAGCAGCAACAGGAGCAGGAGUAACAGAAGGUGAACUAGCAGCAGUACUAGGAGGAGUAGCAGGAGAAGGAGGAGCAGAAAUAGGAGCAGGAGUAACAGACGGUGUACUAGCAGCAGUACUAGGAGGAGUAGCAGGAGGAGCAGCAACAGGAGUAUUGGUACUGGCUUUGGGAAUACCAGCAGGAAGAGCAGGAGCAGGUGUAGCAGCAGUUGCAGGAGUAGCAUUUGCAGAGAUUUUUCAAAAACUUACGCCGAAAUCUACAAAAGGCAGGUGGAAAAGAGAAAGCCUCGAAAAAUGUAGUACAGAUCUGGUUAAGAACAAUUAAACUACCUGAGAGUAUA
ensembl:lncRNA